rnacentral:rRNA from 1 species
CAAACCAAAGCUGGCGACCGGCGCACGGGUGAGUAACACGUAUCCAACCUGCCUCAUACUCGGGGAUAGCCUUUCGAAAGAAAGAUUAAUAUCCAAUAGCAUAUAUUUCCCGCAUGGGUUUUAUAUUAAAGAAAUUCGGUAUGAGAUGGGGAUGCGUUCCAUUAGUUUGUUGGGGGGGUAACGGCCCACCAAGACUACGAUGGAUAGGGGUUCUGAGAGGAAGGUCCCCCACAUUGGAACUGAGACACGGUCCAA